rnacentral:misc_RNA from 1 species
GAUGAAGAACGCAGCGAAAUGCGAUACGUAAUGUGAAUUGCAGAAUUCAGUGAAUCAUCGAAUCUUUGAGCGCACAUUGCGCCUGCCAGCACUCUGGCAGGCAUGCCUGUUCGAGCGUCAUUUCAACCAUCAAGCCCUAGGCUUGCGUUGGAGCCCUGCGGCUGCCGCAGGCCCCUAAAAGCAGUGGCGGGCUCGCUAUCACACCGAGUGCAGUAGAUUACUCUUCGCUCAGGGCGUGUGGCGGGUUCCAGCCGUGAAACCCCCUACUUCUCAAGGUUGACCUCGGAUCAGGUAGGAAUACCCGCUGAACUUAAGCAUAUCAAUAAGCGGAGGA